UACAGAGGUGGCAAGCGUUGUUCGGAAUUACUGGGCGUAAAGUGUGCGCAGGCGGCCGAGCAAGUCGAGUGUGAAAGCCCCGGGCUUAACUUGGGAAUUGCGCUCGAAACUACUUGGCUGGAGUGUGGCAGAGGAAGGUGGAAUUCCAGGUGUAGCGGUGAAAUGCGUAGAGAUCUGGAGGAACACCGAUGGCGAAGGCAGCCUUCUGGGCCAACACUGACGCUCAUGCACGAAAGCGUGGGGAGCAAACAGG
rnacentral:rRNA from 1 species